UGUAGCUAUUCCUUUAUCAAAAUGAAGUAUUUGUUAUCUUUUCUUUUACUAAAGUUGUCAUUAUGUGUCCUUUCACAGGGAGUUACACUGGACCAACCCAGUUCUGCCAUUGUUAAGCCUUCAGAGACCAUGAAACUCCCCUGCAAAGUCUCAGUUGCUGUUAGUAGCUACUACUGGCGCUGGAUCAGGCAACCUCCAGGGAAAGGUCUUGAAUGGAUCGGAGAUAUGAACAAGGAUGGGAGCACAGAUUUAAAUGCAGCCCUCAAGGAUCAACUCACAUUAACCAGAGACACUGAAACAAAUGAGCUCUUUCUGCAGAUCUCUAACAUGAAAACUACAGACUCUGGAACAUACUACUGUGCAUUAUUCACAGUGAGAGAAGGAAAUCAAGAUUGA